CAGUGUCAAUGGUGGUAAGAAAAUAUUCAAAUUGUUCGAGCAUAUUUGUCUUGUUAACUUAUUAUAUUUUGUCUUCCGGAUUUGUUUUUGUUGUUUAUGUGUGUGUCUUGUGGACACGUCACUGAACAUAUUGAACUUAGUUAGAACUAUCUGUGGCUUGCUUCUAAACUACAUGUCUAUCUGCAUUGUUUUCACUCUGGGACAUGACCAAUCAUGAAUGUGAUUUUUUCCUGCUAACUAGUCAGUUCUUCCAAGGUCUGCCAUUAUAUCUACGUACUGAAAGACAAUCUGCUGUAUUUUGCUAGUCAAUGUUAAUGAACGCAGAAAUGUUAGCUUAUGUUAAUUUUGUGUAUUUUUGCUUCUUACCAUGCAGAAUUUACCCCAUCACGUGGCAG
rnacentral:misc_RNA from 1 species